GACGAACGCUGGCGGCGUGCUUAACACAUGCAAGUCGAACGGAAAGGCCCUGCUUUUGUGGGGUGCUCGAGUGGCGAACGGGUGUGUAACACGUGAGUAACCUGCCCUUGACUUUGGGAUAACUUCAGGAAACUGGGGCUAAUACCGGAUAGGAGCUCCUGCUGCAUGGUGGGGGUUGGAAAGUUUCGGCGGUUGGGGAUGGACUCGGGGCUUAUCAGCUUGUUGGUGGGGUAGUGGCUUACCAAGGCUUUGACGGGUAGCCGGCCUGAGAGGGUGACCGGCCACAUUGGGACUGAGAGACGGCGCAGACUCCUACGGGAGGCAGCAGUGGGGAAUAUUGCACAAUGGGCGGAAGCCUGAUGCAGCAACGCCGCGUGCGGGAUGACGGCUUUCGGGUGGUAAACCGCUUUCGCCUGUGACGAAGCGUGAGUGACGGUAAUGGGUAAAGAAGCACCGGCUAACUACGUG
rnacentral:rRNA from 1 species